AAAUGGCAGAACUCUCUAGACACUCUAGAGCUUGGCAAGCCCCCCCUAUAAAUAUGGGAUGGCAUUUGGCAUUUGUAUAACACACAACACACAACAUAUCAAGCCAAAAAAAAAAAAAUCAAAAACAAGUUUGAGUAAUAAAAGUUUCUCUUCUCCAAAAUCUUUCUACUCUUCCAAAAUUCCCUUAGCCUAAAUGCCUCCCUCCAAAUAUUAAUAGCAAUCCUCUUCCAACAAAAAUAAGGCAUCAAAUUCUGA
rnacentral:lncRNA from 1 species